rnacentral:rRNA from 1 species
UGAGUAACACGUGUCCAACCUGCCGUCUACUCUUGGACAGCCUUCUGAAAGGAAGAUUAAUACAAGAUGGCAUCAUGAGUCCGCAUGUUCACAUGAUUAAAGGUAUUCCGGUAGACGAUGGGGAUGCGUUCCAUUAGAUAGUAGGCGGGGUAACGGCCCACCUAGUCUUCGAUGGAUAGGGGUUCUGAGAGGAAGGUCCCCCACAUUGGAACUGAGACACGGUCCAA